rnacentral:rRNA from 1 species
AAACCAGCACCUCAAGUGGUCAGGAUGAUUAUUGGGCCUAAAGCAUCCGUAGCCGGCUCUGUAAGUUUUCGGUUAAAUCUGUACGCUCAACGUACAGGCUGCUGGGAAUACUGCAGAGCUAGGGAGUGGGAGAGGUAGACGGUACUCGGGAGGAAGUGGUAAAAUGCUUUGAUCUCUCGAUGACCACCUGUGGCGAAGGCGGUCUACCAGAACACGUCCGACGGUGAGGGAUGAAAGCUGGGGGAGCAAACCGGAUUAGAUACCCGGGUAGUCC